ensembl:lncRNA
GCGAAUCCCUACUUUGUGUGGUAACAGACACUCAGCAUUGGCUCUAAUCACAUCAGGAUUCGUGAAUGGAAGUCCAUGUUGCUGAAUAUAUGUAUAACCCUGUCACUUCCCUAAGGCCACUCUGUUCAUGAGUCCAUUAUGCAAUGACAGAUGGCCCUAAUAGGUGUUCAAAUAUCACCAUGGGACCUGCUGCAACUGGAGAUCUUCAAGGAGCUCUGCCACCCUGCUUCCUAAGACAUCCCUGAGACAUCAGAAGCCUUAGAACAUGAUUGCUUACAAGUUAUUGAGACGGUGUGUUCUAGCCGACUUGAUUUUUUGGACUGUCUGUUGGAAGAACCAGACUUGGAAAUCUUCACAGAUUGCAGAAGUUUCAUGGAUCAAGGUCUGUAUAGCCAUCUGACGUCCCUCUAUACACCUUCCAACCUGGUGGUCAUGUUUUCCUGAAAACUUGGAGAGACAAAGGACCUGAAAACCACUUGUCACCCAAAUGGACAGGCCGCUUUGAGAUUGUUCUCACUACUCACUCGUAAAUAAAGCUUGCAGGUGUGCAACCCUGGAUCCAUCAGUCCAAGAUCAAGGCAGCCCCAGAAUCACAGGAAAGUACCCCACCUGUGUUGAGGGAAAAGUGGACAGCAGAUCCCCUUGGAGAACUAAAAUAUGUCUUUAAAAUAAAAAUUUCACCUUUGUUAUCUAA